rnacentral:rRNA from 1 species
AGCGGUAGAGAGAAGCUUGCUUCUCUUGAGAGCGGCGGACGGUAGAGUAAUGCCUAGGAAUCUGCCUGGUAGUGGGGGAUAACGCUCGGAAACGGACGCUAAUACCGCAUACGUCCUACGGGAGAAAGCAGGGGACCUUCGGGCCUUGCGCUAUCAGAUCAGCCUAGGUCGGAUUAGCUAGUUGGUGAGGUAAUGGCUCACCAAGGCGACGAUCCGUAACUGGUCUGAGAGGAUGAUCAGUCACACUGGAACUGAGACACGGUCCAGACUCCUACGGGAGGCAGCAGUGGGGAAUAUUGGACAAUGGGCGAAAGCCUGAUCCAGCCAUGCCGCGUGUGUGAAGAAGGUCUUCGGAUUGUAAAGCACUUUAAGUUGGGAGGAAGGGUUGUAACCUAAUACGUUGCAAUCUUGACGUUACCGACAGAAUAAGCACCGGCUAACUCUGUGCCAGCAGCCGCGGUAAUACAGAGGGUGCAAGCGUUAAUCGGAAUUACUGGGCGUAAAGCGCGCGUAGG